CGGCUUCCACCUGUUGCGGACAAAUAAAAUGAAUAUGCGUAUCAAUGCCACCUGGAGUAACAAUUAAACCUUCCCCGGCAAUUACCUCUGUGCUGGCUCCAAUGACCAGGUACAGGUCCACUCCCUGCAUAAUAUCCGGAUUACCGGCUUUACCAACGCCCGCAAUUAAACCAUCCUUAAUUCCAAUGUCUGCCUUAACAAUUCCCCAAUAAUCAAAAAGUAAGGCGUUGGUGAUUACUAUAUCCAACGCACCGGCAUCGCUUGUAAUGCGGGAUGAUUGCCCCAUCCCGUCGCGG
rnacentral:sRNA from 1 species